rnacentral:rRNA from 1 species
UACGGAGGGUGCUAGCGUUGUUCGGAAUCACUGGGCGUAAAGCGCGUGUAGGCGGCCUGCGAAGUCUGAUGUGAAAGCCCGGGGCUCACCCCCGGAAGUGCAUUGGAAACUGGCAGGCUCGAGUCCCGGAGAGGAGGGUGGAAUUCCUGGUGUAGCGGUGAACUGCGUAGAUAUCAGGAGGAACGCCGGUGGCGAAGGCUGCCCUCUGGACGGUGACUGACGCUGAGCCGCGAAAGCGUGGGGAGCAAACAGG